rnacentral:rRNA from 1 species
AGAGAUGCCUUUCUUCCCUUCCGGGGCCGUACCACACAGGUGCUGCAUGGCGUGUCGUCAGCUCGUGUCGUGAGAUGUUGGGUUAAGUCCCGCAACGAGCGCAACCCUCGACUUUAGUUACCAUCAUUAAAUUGGGUACUUUAAAGUAACCGCCGGUGAUAAGCCGGAGGAAGGUGGGGAUGACGUCAAGUCCUCAUGGCCCUUACGCGCUGGGCUACACACGUGCUACAAUGGCAAGUACAGUGGGCAGCAAUCCCGCGAGGGUGAGCUAAUCUCCAAAACUUGUCUCAGUUCGGAUUGUUCUCUGCAACUCGAGAGCAUGAAGGCGGAAUCGCUAGUAAUCGCGGAUCAGAACGCCGCGGUGAAUACGUUCUCGGGGUUU